ACUGGUAAAAAGUUCAGCCAUUGAUUCUUUCCUAUGUGGCUCCUGAACGUAAAAUUGCCCAUGGAUGGUGUCAAAAGCAUAUCCUGAGUUUCAAACUUCAAGUGCUCCUGAAGAAAUGAGAUGGCUGUGCCUUGGAUACCAACGUUUGACCAUCUGCCAUAUGUAAUGUGCUAAUAGAAAGAUGACAACCCUUUAAUCCUGCAUACUUAGUCCUUCCUAUUGGAGAUGAAGUCCUCAUCAUUUCCUGAUGCUUCAGAAGAGCUUUGGGCACCUACAGGAUUUCUCUGAAGACAUCAGGGCAUUUACUAAACCAUACUGAGUGACAUAUGUGUAUGUCACAUAUGGGAUUAUGGGAAUUGCUAAGUAAGGGCUUGAAUCAAUGAGCACCUGGUGAAGGAACAUAGCUGCCCUUGGAGCACAGGUGAAUUCCAGAGGGGAUGGAACCAGGCUCCCUAAGUCUCGUUUAAGGACUGGCUGCCAUAAGAGAAGGUUCCUUAUCUGGAGAUCCUGCUUUCUGGAGGAUGUGGCAAGCUCUGAUCCUUGAGAAAGGUGCUGAUGUGCUCUAUCAGCAGGAAUUUGUGUCUGCCAUGUUCUGGAUAAAUGUGAUGAGAGGAGCUGGCCUCUCAUCAGGCCAAAUGUUGUCCCAUCAUUUGUUUAGUUAAUGGCUCUGUUGUUUGCCUGCCUUGAGAAGAUGGUGAUCUACAUGCAUUGUGGGGGUAGUUGAGUGUGACUUGUGGACUUGGGUGCUGAAGAGAAUUGUUCUCCUUGCCUGCUGUCAUACCAAUGCCACAGGAGAGAUGAAACACAGCCCUGCCACUUCCAUCCAUGAAUGGAAAAAGCAGCAUGUGGAUUUGCUGAAGGAUGCCUGAUUGCAAUAGCUGCUGCUGGGAAAGUCAGAAUGGGACAAGUGGAGAGCGAUACUUGUGCAGAGCACCCAAUGCAAUGGGAUGCUUGGGAUUCCUCAGGUCAGUGAUACAUCUUUGUUUCUAUAGUCUUCUGUGUGUUUAAUACUUCCCU